AUUUCAUUAUUAUAAUUAGUAUAUUUAAUUGCAAAUUAAACGGUUAAUGAAAUU
rnacentral:tRNA from 1 species